rnacentral:lncRNA from 1 species
CCCCAGCAGCAGGUUGGGCAGGUAGUUGAGGGCGUCGAAGAUACGGAAGAUGUCCAUCCCGUUGGCUGCAGCCACCUCGCAGAAUCGGUAGAUGACGUUAUCGGGGUAGUUGGUGUAACCGACAGCGUUGGCCCCCCUCAGCAGCAUCUGGAAAGGGAUGUUGGGGACCAACCGGCGCAGCUCCCGCAGCCGCUCCCAGGGGCACUCGUGCAGGAAGCGCAUGGCCACGUCGAAGGUGGCACCUCCCCACGUCUCCAUGCUGCAGAGCGGGCUGAGCGAAUGCGCCACGAAGGGUGCGAUGCGGGCCAGGUCCCGGCUGCGCACUCGGGUGGCCAGCAGGGAUUGGUGGGCGUCCCGGAAGGUCGUGUCGGUCAGCAGCAGCCCCCGGUGCCCCCGCAGCGCCCGAGCGAACCCCGCCGGGCCUUCGCGCUGCAGCACCGCCCUCAGACCCUCCGGGGGGGGCCCCAUGGGCACUGGGGGGGGUACGGGCUCCA